AGCGAACGCUGGCGGCAGGCCUAACACAUGCAAGUCGAACGAACCUUUCGGGGUUAGUGGCGGACGGGUGAGUAACACGUGGGAACGUGCCUUUAGGUUCGGAAUAACUCAGGGAAACUUGUGCUAAUACCGAAUGUGCCCUUCGGGGGAAAGAUUAAUCGCCUUUAGAGCGGCCCGCGUCUGAUUAGCUAGUUGGUUGAGGUAAUGGCUCACCAAGGCGACGAUCAGUAGCUGGUCUGAGAGGAUGAUCAGCCACAUUGGGACUGAGACACGGCCCAAACUCCUACGGGAGGCAGCAGUGGGGAAUCUUGCGCAAGGGGCGAAAGCCUGACGCAGCCAUGCCGCGUGAAUGAUGAAGGUCUUAGGAUUGUAAAAUUCUUUCAACGGGGACGAUAAUGACGGUACCCGGAGAAGAAGCCCCGGCUAACUUCGUG
rnacentral:rRNA from 1 species